rnacentral:RNase_P_RNA from 1 species
UUGAGUAAACGGGCAGUCGUUUCGCACUAUUUUAAAAUAGAUGCGGGGAGGAAAGUCCGGACUCCACAGGGCAGGGAGCCCGUCGCUUAGAUACUUUGGUAGUUAGGCGGCCGGGCAGAAGUGAUUCUGGGAAAGUGCCACAGAAAAGAAAACCCCCCGAUUUUUUCGGAGGAGAGCUGAAACGGUGAGGUAAGAGCUCACCAGCCUCGUAGUAAUGCGGGGGCUUGGUAAACCCCUCUUGGAGCAAGAUCAAGAAGAAGCUAUGGGCGGCCCGUCUUUUAGGCUUCGGGUAGAUCGCUUAGAUAGAUGAUUGCCACUCUGCUUGUUAGAGUACAGAAUCCGGCUUAUAGUUUGCUCAUCUAA